rnacentral:miRNA from 1 species
ACAUUUGGAUUUUAGAUAAACAGCUAAUAGUUCAUUUAAUAUAACUAUACUCUCCCAUUCCAAGAUUUGGGAUAUACUUAUGCUAAGUUGCUAUUCAUUAUUUGUCUGAAACUAAAAUUUAAGUGAAUAACCUGUAUUUU